GGAAUAUUGGACAAUGGCCGAAAGCCUGAUCCAGCAAUGCCGCGUGAGUGAUGAAGGCCUUAGGGUUGUAAAGCUCUUUUACCCGGGAUGAUAAUGACAGUACCGGGAGAAUCAGCUCCGGCUCACUCCGUGCCAGCAGCCGCGGUAAUACGGAGGGUGCCAGCGUUGUUCGGAAUUACUGGGCGUAAAGCGCACGUAGGCGGCGCCGCAAGUCAGGGGUGAAAUCCCGGGGCUCAACCCCGGAACUGCCCUUGAAACUGCAGUGCUAGAAUCCUGGAGAGGCGAGUGGAAUUCCGAGUGUAGAGGUGAAAUUCGUAGAUAUUCGGAAGAACACCAGUGGCGAAGGCGACUCGCUGGACAGGUAUUGACGCUGAGGUGCGAAAGCGUGGGGAGCAAAC
rnacentral:rRNA from 1 species